GGAGCUAACGCGUUAGGUCCUGCACCUGGGGAGUACGGUCGCAAGACUGAAACUCAAAGGAAUUGACGGGGGCCCGCACAAGCGGUGGAACAUGUGGUUCAAUUCGACGCUACGCGAGGAACCUUACCUGGGCUCGAAACGCACCUGACCAGCUGUGGAAACACGGCCUUCCCGCAAGGGACAGGUGUGGAGGCGCUGCAUGGCUGUCGUCAGCUCGUGCCGUGAGGUGUUGGGUUAAGUCCCGCAACGAGCGCAACCCUUGCACGUAGUUGCCACUCCGCAAGGAGGGAACUCUACGUGGACUGCUCCAGAUAAUGGAGAGGAAGGUGGGGAUGACGUCAAGUCCGCAUGGCCUUUAUGUCCAGGGCUACACACGUGUUACAAUGCAGAGCACAAACCGUUGCCAACUCGCGAGAGGGAGCUAAUCGGAAAAAACUCUGCUCAGUUCGGAUUGCAGUCUGCAACUCGACUGCAUGAAGCCGGAAUCGCUAGUAAUGGCGUAUCAGAUCGACGCCGUGAAUACGUUCCCGGGCCUUGUACACACCGCCCGUC
rnacentral:rRNA from 1 species